rnacentral:lncRNA from 1 species
ACGAAACACAAGUUCAGAGGGUUCAAGUGGAAGCGUGGAAAUUCAUCAGGCACCCUACAUAAAUUUGACAAUAAGGGUCUGGAUCUUCUUCUUCAGCGCCCUUGUGAUGGAUUGAGAAUCCGAAACUAAAUGGACGGGGCUCUGGAGGUGGUGUGCGACUGAGCGUCUUCAAAGACAUCCAAAUCCUCGAGCUUGUCAGGCUUCAGGCACUGAGGGAUGUACGCAGUGUAGAUGGCGUCCAUGUUUGGCGUUUCCUUCAGCUCGUGCUGCGCCACCUCCAGAGGGGUGUUGGCGAAUGCUGGGUAAAAGCGCAUAUGGCAGAUGUAGGCAAAGAUGAUGCUGAUCGGGAGGAGUGGCACAAGGAUAGGUGAGUAAUAGAACUUUUUCAGGCCAAUGACGCCAAUCAUGGUGGCCUGGUAAAGGAGUAGAGCU